rnacentral:lncRNA from 1 species
AAAUAAAAAAUGUAGAGGGGAAACUAACAGCGAAGACCGCACCUCACCUUAAAGGAAGAACAAGGAAACUUACAACGAAGGAGGAGGAGGAGAACCAAACUGAUGGCAGCUGAUCUGGAACAUUGAAACCCAGAGAACGCGAGGGACAGAGGUUCAAUGGUCGUUGCGUGGCUCAAGAAGGGAAACAAAGAACAAAGAAAAAAAAAAUCAAUUUCAGGCUAAAGAUCACACAGAAAACCAACAGCAAAGUCUGCAGCUCACCGGAAAGGAAGAAAAGGAAGAAAAAGAAAACUCACAAUGGAGGAAGAGGAACAAAACCAAACGUCUGGACCACUGCGUGGUGAGGAUGAGAACGCGAGGGACCGAGGCUCGAUGUCUCAAUAGGUUAAUGUACCAGGGCUUUAAACAUCCGGAUAAGCAAGAGAGCAACAUUG